rnacentral:rRNA from 1 species
AUUGAACGCUGGCGGCAGGCUUAACACAUGCAAGUCGAGCGGAGAUGAGGUGCUUGCACCCUAUCUUAGCGGCGGACGGGUGAGUAAUGCUUAGGAAUCUGCCUAUUAGUGGGGGACAACAUUCCGAAAGGAAUGCUAAUACCGCAUACGUCCUACGGGAGAACGCAGGGGAGCUUCGGACCUUGCGCUAAUAGAUGAGCCUAGGUCGGAUUAGCUAGUUGGUGGGGUAAAGGCCUACCAAGGCGACGAUCUGUAGCGGGUCUGGGAGGAUGAUCCGCCGCACUGGGACUGAGACACGGCCCAGACUCCUACGGGAGGCAGCAGUGGGGAAUAUUGGACAAUGGGGGGAACCCUGAUCCAGCCAUGCCGCGUGUGUGAAGAAGGCCUUAUGGUUGUAAAGCACUUUAAGCGAGGAGGAGGCUACUGAGACUAAUACUCUUGGAUAGUGGACGUUACUCGCAGAAUAAGCACCGGCUAACUCUGUGCCAGCCGCCGCGGUAAAAC